GACGAACGCUGGCGGCGUGCCUAAUACAUGCAAGUAGAACGCACAGUUUAUACCGUAGCUUGCUACACCAUAGACUGUGAGUUGCGAACGGGUGAGUAACGCGUAGGUAACCUGCCUGGUAGCGGGUGAUAACUAUUGGAAACGAUAGCUAAUACCUCAUAAUCUUAAUUAUUGCAUGGUAAUUAAUUGAAUUGUGCAAUUGCAUCACUACCAGAUGGACCUGAGUUGUAUUAGCUAGUAGGGGAGGUAACGGCUCACCCAGGCGAAGAUACAUAUCCGACCUGAGGAGGUGAUCGGCCCAAACUGGAAUGGGAACCGGGCCAAAACCCUAAGGGAGGGAGCAGUAGGGGAUCUUCGGCAAAGGAGCAAAAUCUGAACGAGCAAAGACGGGUGAGUGGAGGAGGUUUUCGGGUCGUAAAGCUCUGUUGUAAGAGAAGAAAGGGUGUGAGAGUGAAAAGUUCACACUGUGACGGUACCUUACCAGAAAGGGACGGCUAACUACGUG
rnacentral:rRNA from 1 species